UGGGGAAUUUUGGACAAUGGGGGCAACCCUGAUCCAGCGACGCCGCGUGAAGGAUGAAGGUCUUCGGAUUGUAAACUUCUUUUGAAGGGGAUGAAUGACUUGGUGAAUAACCAAGAGUGACAGUACCCUUCGAAUAAGCCACGGCUAACUACGUGCCAGCAGCCGCGGUAAUACGUAGGUGGCAAGCGAUACUCGGAAUCACUAGGCGUAAAGCGCAGGUAGGCGGUUUGAUAAGUCUGUUGUGAAAGCUCCCGGCUUAACUGGGAGAGGUCAACGGAAACUGUCAGGCUAGAGUGUGGUAGAGGUAGCUGGAAUUCCCGGUGUAGCGGUGAAAUGCGUAGAUAUCGGGAGGAAUACCUAUGGCGAAAGCAGGCUACUGGACCAUCACUGACGCUGAUCUGCGAAAGCUAGGGGAGCAAACAG
rnacentral:rRNA from 1 species